rnacentral:misc_RNA from 1 species
UUCAAUGUUUAUUGAAUAAUUCAACUUAAUUUUGCAUCAAGUUGAUUAACAGCCAACAUUUCGUUGAUCUAAGACAGUUAUCCAGCGACUAAAGACAAUAAAGUAGCCUCAAUGCCAAUUAAGGUGAAAUUAAAAACUGGUUUCAACCCUACUUUCACUGGUAUAUUUCAGUUUUAACGAAAAAUGUAAUU